rnacentral:rRNA from 1 species
ACGGUUGUCCCGGUUUAAGCGUGUAGGUGUGUGUUCCAGGUAAAUCCGGUUCACUUUAACACUGAGGCGUGACGACGAGGCACUACGGUGCUGAAGCAACAAAUGCCCUGCUUCCAGGAAAAGCCUCUAAGCAUCAGGUAACAUCAAAUCGUACCCCAAACCGACACAGGUGGUCAGGUAGAGAAUACCAAGGCGCUUGAGAGAACUCGGGUGAAGGAACUAGGCAAAAUGGUGCCGUAACUUCGGGAGAAGGCACGCUGACACGUAGGUGAAGUGAUUUACUCAUGGAGCUGAAGUCAGUCGAAGAUACCAGCUGGCUGCAACUGUUUAUUAAAAACACAGCACUGUGCAAACACGAAAGUGGACGUAUACGGUGUGACGCCUGCCCGGUGCCGGAAGGUUAAUUGAUGGGGUCAGCGCAAGCGAAGCUCCUGAUCGAAGCCCCGGUAAACGGCGGCCGUAACUAUAACGGUCCUAAGGUAGCGAAAUUCCUUGUCGGGUAAGUUCCGACCUGCACGAAUGGCGUAAUGAUGGCCAGGCUGUCUCCACCCGAGACUCAGUGAAAUUGAACUCGCUGUGAAGAUGCAGUGUACCCGCGGCAAGACGGAAAGACCCCGUGAACCUUUACUAUAGCUUGACACUGAACAUUGAGCCUUGAUGUGUAGGAUAGGUGGGAGGCUUUGAAGUGUGGACGCCAGUCUGCAUGGAGCCGACCUUGAAAUACCACCCUUUAAUGUUUGAUGUUCUAACGUGGACCCGUAAUCCGGGUUGCGGACAGUGUCUGGUGGGUAGUUUGACUGGGGCGGUCUCCUCCUAAAGAGUAACGGAGGAGCACGAAGGUUGGCUAAUCCUGGUCGGACAUCAGGAGGUUAGUGCAAUGGCAUAAGCCAGCUUGACUGCGAGCGUGACGGCGCGAGCAGGUGCGAAAGCAGGUCAUAGUGAUCCGGUGGUUCUGAAUGGAAGGGCCAUCGCUCAACGGAUAAAAGGUACUCCGGGGAUAACAGGCUGAUACCGCCCAAGAGUUCAUAUCGACGGCGGUGUUUGGCACCUCGAUGUCGGCUCAUCACAUCCUGGGGCUGAAGUAGGUCCCAAGGGUAUGGCUGUUCGCCAUUUAAAGUGGUACGCGAGCUGGGUUUAGAACGUCGUGAGACAGUUCGGUCCCUAUCUGCCGUGGGCGCUGGAGAACUGAGGGGGGCUGCUCCUAGUACGAGAGGACCGGAGUGGACGCAUCACUGGUGUUCGGGUUGUCAUGCCAAUGGCACUGCCCGGUAGCUAAAUGCGGAAGAGAUAAGUGCUGAAAGCAUCUAAGCACGAAACUUGCCCCGA